rnacentral:rRNA from 1 species
CCUACGGGAGGCAGCAGUGAGGAAUAUUGCUCAAUGGGCGCGAGCCUGAACCAGCCAAGUCGCGUGAGGGAAGCCGGUCCUAUGGAUUGUAAAUCCCUUUAGUUGGGGAGCAAAAGACGCCACGCGUGGCGUUCCGAGAGUACCCGAAGAAAAAGCAUCGGAUAACUCCGGUCCAGCACCAGCGGUAAUACGGGGGAUGCGAGGUUUAUCCGGAUUUAUUGGGUUUAACGGGUCCGCGGCGGGACGAUAAAGUCAGCGGUAAAAUUGAGGGGCUCAACCUCUUCGAGACGUUGAAACUGGUUUUCUUGAGUGAGUGAGAAGUAUGCAGAAUGCGUGGUGUAGCGGUGAAAUGCAUAGAGAUCUCGCAGAACUCCGAUUGCGAAGGCAGCAUACCGGCGCUCAACUGACGCUCAUGCACGAAAGUGUGGGUAUCGAACAGGAUUAGAUACCCGUGUAGUC